UACGGAGGGGGCUAGCGUUGUUCGGAAUUACUAGGCGUAAAGCGCACGUAGGCGGACUGUUAAGUCGGGGGUGAAAUCCUGGGGCUCAACCUCAGAAUUGCCUCCGAUACUGGCAGUCUCGAGUGCGGGAGAGGUGAGUGGAAUUCCCAGUGAUAGAGGUGAAAUUCGUAAGAUAUUGGGGAAGAACACCAGUGGCGAAGGCGG
rnacentral:rRNA from 1 species